GAUGAACGCUGGCGGCGUGCCUAAUACAUGCAAGUCGAGCGAAUGGAUUAAGAGCUUGCUCUUAUGAAGUUAGCGGCGGACGGGUGAGUAACACGUGGGUAACCUGCCCAUAAGACUGGGAUAACUCCGGGAAACCGGGGCUAAUACCGGAUAAUAUUUUGAACUGCAUGGUUCAAAAUUGAAAGGCGGCUUCGGCUGUCACUUAUGGAUGGACCCGCGUCGCAUUAGCUAGUUGGUGAGGUAACGGCACACCAAGGCAACGAUGCGUAGCCGAACUGAGAGGGUGAUCGGCCACGCUGGGACUGAGACACGGCCCAGACUCCUACGGGAGGCAGCAGUAGGGAAUCUUCCGCAAUGGACGAAAGUCUGACGGGGCGACGCCGCGUGAGUGAUGAAGGCUUUCGGGUCGUAAAACUCUGUUGUUAGGGAAGAACAAGUGCUAGUUGAAUAAGCUGGCACCUUGACGGUACCUAACCAGAAAGCCACGGCUAACUACGUGCCAGCCGCCGCGGUAA
rnacentral:rRNA from 1 species